ensembl:lncRNA
CUUAAGUUUGGGUUACUGACCCUGAGAUACCAGAUCCCAGGGCAGUUUACGUAGGAAGUGACCCACAAAACACUGGAGAGGAGAAAACAAAAACAACAAAACUAAAAUCCGUGAAUGAAAGGGAACAUGUAGUGUUCCCUUCCUGUGUCCUCAGGGUGAUAAGGAAGACUGGAGAAGGAAAAUCUACCUACUGCAGCUGCAUCUAUCAAUUACUGAUUGAAGAGUGUUGAAGUUUCCAACUAUAAUAAUAUACAGUUUUAUUAUGAAGGAAACACACAAGAAAAGUUCUGGAAGGGCCGGGAUUCAGUGCUCUUGUAUCCUUUCUAUGGAAUCUGGAUGUGGCAUUAUCUGUGCACAGUAAUGUGUUCAUGAUUUGGGAUGCUCCACUCGGUGUCCAGAGUUUUUGUAUGGGCUGUCAUCACACAGGCAUGACUGUGUAAACCACUGGGCAUGUGACUGAGUUCAAUCUUCAGUGCUUUCUCCUUCAUGGAGGUCAGACUGGCCCAGGAUUCCAGCCUUCUAAUCAUGAGUUUGGUCUCUCUAGUGACCAGCCCUGAUCCUGAAGCUAAUUAGGCAUCUACCAUGAGUCAUUUCAUUAAGAUCAACAUUAACACAAGCAUGCCCAUAACUCAGGAAGUUCCAAGGGAUUUUGAAAUUCUUUGCCAGGAAUGGGAUCAAAGACCAAAUAAAUUCUUUAGCAUACCAUAAAACCUUUAAUAUAUCAAUCACAGUUGUUGUAAGCUUCUUAUCUGACAAUUUCAAAAUCUGUGUUAUAUCUGAAUCCAGUACUGAUGCUCAUUCUGUUUCUUCAGAUCGCAUUUUCUUCUUGCCUUUAGUAUAUCCAAAAUUUUGUUGUUGGGCACUGAGGCAGUCAGGCUAUCAGUAUAAAGAUGAUAUUAGUCUGGCCAGGACCUGGGUGUUUCCUGUUUAAGGUUUAUUAUAACUGUGCACCAAAGAUUCCAUUUUUCUCUAAUUUCCCAUUGUUUUCCACUUCCAUGCUGUCUCCAAGUCUCCUAAGAACCUCUUCUUAAAUAGAAUGUCUCUCUUAGGUGUCUCAUUUGUAACCCACUGUUUUUAUAUAGGAGCUCUGUCAGUGUGGGGAUAAGAUUUUGAGGAAGGGAAGCAUUCCACCUUAAAAUUAUAUAUCAGUUUUUUUAAUGGACUUGAGUUCCCGAGUUGUAGCCAUCAGUAACUUUUCUCAACUUUUUUUUCCUAUUAUGCAAGACAGAAAAUCUAGAAUGACUAACAAUGUCUAGUUGCUCUUCCUCUUCAUCAGAUAAGGCUGUAGCAAAGUAGCUUCCCUUGAGCACAAUCUCAUUAGAGAAAGUAGAACUGUCUGGGCUUAUUUCAAAGUGGUUACUUCUGUUCUUCACUGCUCACAGAAGAGAAGAUUGUCUCUCAUAUUUUACUCACCCCUGGUGGGUCUUCUGAAGGCCAAACCCACACCAGUAUUAUAGGAGGCCCCCUAAAACUGGGUACAGUGGAUUUUAACUCUGGAGUUAGUCUGAAGUCAGCUUUCAGCAGUUCAUCAGUUGCUGUUUAUUUUUUCCUACCAGUUUCUAUCUCCAUAUGUCUCUGGUCCCGGUAAACUGUGAUUCUCUAUAUUUGCAUGUCUGUCUGGUUUUUGCUGUGGCAGUUUGUGAUGUGACCUCAGUGCUCUUGCAGAUCUAAUUAAAGUUGCUGAUUUUUAGUUUGUUCAGCUGUUUUUGUAUAGUCAGAACAGGAAAGAUAAUUUCAGAGCUCUUUGUGUGUCAGAGCUAAUCAGGAGGCAUGACCAGUAUGCAACUAGAAGCAGGGGUCUGAAAUCCAUAUGUACUUAGGCCAUGGCCCAUGGGGACAGGCAUAUUGAUUACUUCCAGUGGUCACUGACUCCUUCAUAAAACCAGCUUUUCAGCUAAACUGCAUUCUACAAAUGUACUACUUGCUAGGUUACUGGUCAAUUAAAUGCAGUCUUCAAAAGAAAGACCUUUUAGUGAGAUUUGGCUUUGUGAUUUGAACUGGCCUUUUUGUUUCCACUCUGUCCAAUCCCAGAGGCCUUUUCAGCUGGUGAAUGGGUUUCUCAUACGUUCUGUGCAUUGCUAUUACUCUUAAUGUAUUCUAGAACAUGAUUUUUCUGGCUUGUAAGCAUCUCCAACCCAACUUAUGAGUUUUCAGCUCUUUGGAUUUAAAUCAGAAACAUUUUAGUAAGUCUGAGCCCUAGAGACCCACUACUAAUAAGACUAUCACUAGGAUGAAUGGAUGAAGGGUGUGUGUGUGUGUGUGUGUGUGUGUUCAAACCUGUAUCAGUGAUUUUAUAAAUUUAUACCUAUGUUAUAAAUUUAUGUAUCUGAUUUCUAUGCUAGGUCUAGUAAUAUAUAUAUAUAUAUAUAUAUAUACACUUAUCUAAAUCUUUUUGAACAAUUAUAUAAUAAGAAUUAUUUAAUACCUAUCUUUGUAAGCACAUUUAUAAACUUUUGACAUGAGAUUUGUAAGUUCCUAACCAGCAUUAAUAUUAUAUUAAGAAAUUUGUAAUAAAAGUGUCUAACAUCUCUUUUCAUAAAAUAUAUAACAGUUUAGAAAAAUAGUGUAUUUUAAGGCAUAUGUGGAGCAAACUGACAUAUUCUUUCAUCUACAAAAGUUGCAAGAAGUUCAUGAGAAACAAAAAGAUU